CAAUAUUAUUCAAUGUAAUUAAUUAAAUUUAAUUUAAGGAAUGUCACUGCAGCCCUAUAAAUAAAUAACUACCAGGCAUAUCACCCUGGUCACAUUGGCUCAGUCAGGAAGCUUUGCUAUGGAGUAUGGGAGUUGGUGGUGCUUUAUGCGUCCCCGGUAUGGGCCAAAGUGCUGUUGACCAAGAGGAAUAGAAACAUCUUGAAGAGGGCACAAAGGGCCGCACUUAUAAGAUCGUCUAUGGCCUACAGAACUGUGUCGCGUGCAGCGCUGUGCAUACUGACGGGUCUAGAGCAGAAAUUACUGAAAAUUUUAUGGAAAGGAUGGGGGACGACAGGUAGAGGGAUAAAUGGAGUGUGUACGGAGAAGAUAAUUGGACGAAGAAGUUAGUAAAUGACGCUUGUACGUUAAAGAAAUACAAAAGACAUAUUGAACGAUGCAACUGUUGACUGGACACCUACGAGUGUAUCGCAGGAUGAUCAGCAAAGAGGUUCACUCCAGAUACUGGGAUUGCGUCACGGAAGUAGACGACGCGGAGCAUGCGUUGUUUCACUGCCCUAGGUGGGUCCUCGAUAGGACCGAACUGGAGAGCUAUGUUGGCACGACAUUGACGAGGAGAAAUGUUAUUGAGGAGGUAAUUAAGAAAGAGGACAACUAGAAUAAAUUCCAGGCACUGUGCAGAAGAAUUAUGAAGGCGAGACAGAAACAGGAGAUGGAUGUAUAAAGGAGAAGAAGAAUAGGAACUUACAGAGAUAGUAAUGGAUAAGAUGUAGCGAAGGAAGCGUGGAAGUUAGGGCCAACCCUGAAGUAAUGCCUAAAGGCAGUUCCGGGGUUGGUACCUGUACUACAAGAAGAGCAGUUAGAGGAGAGGUUUUUAGUCGGUAUGGCAACCAUCUGCUGAGUCCCACUUAAUCCAAUGACGCGGGUCACUGGGUAUGCGUAAUUUGCAUUUUUCCCUCCUCGCGAAAAAAGGCAUAUAACCCUGGUAAGGUACUGCAUGCUUAGCCCUGUCAGUGAUAAAGAAAUUUAUCCUCUUUCCCCUUGACAAGCGUCACCGCUAUCACCGCCUUGCUCUGAUGCUGAUCAAAGCCUCCUUGAUGAAGGGGCACUUUCCAUACGGAAAGUUCCCCUUUCCUACGGA